GCUACUUUGUAUGUUGUAGACACACUUAUUAUCUCAAAUAGACUAACUACUGAUUACCAAAAUAUCCAGCUGAAGAAGCAGCCCCAUCUGCCUCUGCGUUUCCGUUCAGAUGGAACCUUCAAAAUCCUCCAGGUUGCGGAUAUGCACUAUGGGAAUGGGAUAGUGACUCGGUGUAGAGAUGUGUUGGAGAGUGAGUUCAAUUACUGUUCUGACCUCAACACGACUCAUUUCUUGAGGAAGAUGAUUCACAUUGAAAAACCAGACUUGAUUGUAUUUACUGGAGAUAACAUAUUUGGAUCAAGUGCUACUGAUGCUGCAGAAUCUCUGUUUGAAGUUUUU
rnacentral:misc_RNA from 1 species